AGACAAUGCCAUCCCCAUCAAAUCCUGGUUCAGUGACCCCAGCGACACAGCCCUUCUCAACCUGCUCCCAAUGCUGGAUGCCCUCAGGUGAUAGUAGAAAAGGCUCCCAAAGCUCGGAUAGGAGACCUGGACAAAAAGAAAUACCUGGUGCCUUCUGAUCUCACAGUUGGUCAGUUCUACUUCUUGAUCCGGAAGCGAAUUCAUCUCCGAGCUGAGGAUGCCUUGUUUUUCUUUGUCAACAAUGUCAUUCCACCCACCAGUGCCACAAUGGGUCAGCUGUACCAGGAACACCAUGAAGAAGACUUCUUUCUCUACAUUGCCUACAGUGACGAAAGUGUCUACGGUCUGUGAAGCUGCUGCCCCUGAGCUGGAGGGGGGUCUCAUUCUACAAAGAGAGAGGUGGCCCCCCUUUCUUGACCUCCUCCUCCUUCAAGCUCAAACACCACCUCCCUUAUUCAGGACCGGCACUUCUUAAUGUUUGUGGCUUUCUCUCCAGCCUCUCUUAGGAGGGGUAAUGGUGGAGUUGGCAUCUUGUAACUCUCCUUUCUCCUUUCUUCCCCUUUCUCUGCCCGCCUUUCCCAUCCUGCUGUAGACUUCUUGAUUGUCAGUCUGUGUCACAUCCAGUGAUUGUUUUGGUUUCUGUUCCCUUUCUGACUGCCCAAGGGGCUCAGAACCCCAGCAAUCCCUUCCUUUCACUACCUUCUUUUUUGGGGGUAGUUGGAAGGGACUGAAAUUGUGGGGGGAAGGUAGGAGGCACAUCAAUAAAGAGGAAACCACC
rnacentral:lncRNA from 1 species